rnacentral:lncRNA from 1 species
GUCUUGGCUUGUAGAUGGCCACCUUCUUACUGUGUCCUUAUAUGGUCUUUCCUUUGUGUGUCUGUAUCCUGAUCUCUUCUUUAGGGACACUAGUCAUAUUGGAUCAGGGCCCACCCUAAUGACCUCAUUUCAAUGUACUCACCUCUUUCCAGGCCCUAUCUCCAAACAACCCGCAUUUCCUCAAAAAUGCGGACUUCAACAUGUCUUUUGGGGGAACAAAGACUUUUGGGGAACAAAGUCUUUGGAGGAACACAGGUCAGACCAUGAUGCCUUGCCCAGCUCACUCCAAACAUGCUGAGCCUCAGUGUCUUCGUCGAUGAAAUGGGGUGGAUCAGAGGGGGCCAUGGACCUCCUGGUACCUCUUCACCCCUUUGCUCACCAGUUUGGUUAUUCCCUCCAGGUAAGUUCCUAGAGGAGAGUUGCUGGAUGGAAGGUGGAGAUGCCAGCCUGAGCCCUGAAAGUGCACCUGCCCACCCCCAUCGGGGUGGGUAGAUGGAUGUGCCCCCAGCCCCAUCCUCAGGCCUCCCAUGGCUCCUCCCCAUCUGACUGCCUGCCCCACCUUACUGUCAGAGGCUUCUGUCCCCAAAGGCUCAGCAGAGUUGCAAGCUGGUGCCUAAAGCUCUUCUCAAGCUGGCUGGGCCCCUUUCUGCCUCUCCCCUUCUUCAUUGCCCUUGUC